UCGAAAAAAAUCCAAAAAAAAAAAAAAAAAACCUCUCACUGCAGCAUCUGCCUAUAGGCUUACUAUAGUUUUAACCAAAAGUGACUGGUUAGAUGGUUAAAUGAAUCCCAGUGCUCGGGAGGUAGAGGCAGGUGGCUCUCUGUGAGUUUGAGGCCAACCUGGUCUUCAAAGAGGGUUCCAGGACAGUCUCCAAAACCUACAGAGAAACUCUGUUUCGAAAACAACAACAAAAAAUAUGUUUAAGAGCACUUGUUGCUCUUGUAAAAGACACAGUUCAAUUCCCAUGACAUAGUGGUUUUGCAGGCAAAACACACAAAAGUAAAAGGAAUAAAUAUUGUUUUAAUAUAAGAUUAAAUUAUGGCUUGGUAUCUCUCCUACUAUCUGGAAGUUAUGAGAGGUACCUCACACGAAUCCUAGCCACUCCAAAUACUUUUUUUUCUUUGAUUUUUCGAGACAGGGUUUCUCUGUAUUGUUUUUGAGGCUGUCCUGGGACUCGCUCUGUAGACCAGUCUGGCCUCGAACUCACAGAGAUCCGCCUGCCUCUGCCCCCCACCCCAGUGCUGGGAUUAAAGGCCUGUGCCACUAACGCCUUGCCCCAUUCCAACUACUUUUAAAGGAGCUGUUGUAGACUAGUCUUGAAGGCCAAAGGAUAAGGCUCACAGUGGAUGGAUGUACUAUGAGCACAUCCAGAACUUCUAAUGGACUUGAAUUUGGACAUUUAAAAAAUACCCUGUCAUUUCUAGCCUCGUACUCGUAAUGCUCCUGACUUUUCCUUUGCUCUUUCCUCACAUCCCCUUCUAGGAAGCAGUUGAGGGCUUUUCUUUUUCUACACCUGUUACUCAAGUGAUUCUAGGGUUACCUCUUGGAGAGUGGGGAGGAGACCUUGAUGAAACCACAAGAGCAAUGACGCAUCCGCUGUGCAGCCAGUGUCCAAGAAUGUGCAGAGGGUGUCGGGGAUUGCCAACACAGAGACUAGAAGGCUCCUCAAGAAGGCUCUCAUUUAUUGCUAUUCUGGCUCGUUAUUAUAUACCCUGACACCAGAGGUGGAGGUGGGUGGGUCUGAAGAGGUGGUUAGUCUUUAGAAAAGGUCAAGGGCAGGGCGGUUCCCUUGGGCCAGCCCUUUUCAGGAACUUAUUGCCCCGGGCAUUGUAUUGUUUUUAGUAAACAUGUUUUUAGUAAA